rnacentral:misc_RNA from 1 species
GAAAUGCGAUACGCAAUGCGAAUUGCAGAAUUCCGCGAGUCAUCAGAUCUUUGAACGCAAGUGGCGCUGGCCGCAAAACGCCAGCAUGCUUGUUUCAGUGUGUUAGGAAUCACACAUCCCAAUGCGAUUGACGGGACCGGAAGGAAGGAAGGUGCGGGACCCCCCUCAAAAGGGCCCCGAUUCACGCCCCCCUUGCGGCCCUUCUCUCGUUAAACACGGCGGCGCCGAGCCUCUUGCGCGGCCGAAAUGAAGUAGUCACUUCCCUUACGGGAAAAGUGAUCUCGUUUCGGAUAACCGGCGGGCUCGCCAAAGGCGAUUCGCGUUAAUAAACAAAACACGGUCUUUUCCUUCACCGGGAAAGGCUACUCUCCACGACACCUGAAAUCACGCAAGAUCACCC